AAAGAACACCCAGCGCAAAGACCACAUGGAAAGCACUCAGGAAAAGCCAAGGGUUGCAUGGCUGGGAGACAGGGGCCAGGGGGCAAAGGGUGGAGGAAGCAGGAAGAAAAGAACAAGCAAGAAAACUGGAGAGGUGGGUCAGGAGCAGCUUAUGGAUGACCUUGCAUAAGGGCUCCAUGAAUUGGACAUUCUUCUGAGGGCCUGGUGGAAUGAGAAGGCUGUAAGCAAGUGAAGGAGGUGAUAAGGGCUCUGCUGUGGGAGGGGCGAGGGAAGGGAGGUCAUUCAGGCCAUGCAACCAUCUUACUGCCCAAGCUGAGUGAGAGCUAGCAUCUCACCACCAAUGGAGCAGCAGAUCCAAAGCAUUUUGGGGGGCAACUGUGAGCUGGGCUCCUGAUCACUGAUAGCUUUUCCUACUCAUUUCAAGUCUUCAGAGUUGCUAUUCACCAAGCUAGGCCCAAAGCUUCCCAGCUCACUGUCACUCAGAAAACUUGUAAGGAGGCAAGGCCCAGAUCCACCACCCCAGGAACUGACCUCCGUGGGUCUAGGUGACACUGUGCACUUUCAUUUCUAAUUACACCCAGGGAGGUUCUGAGGAAGACGAUGCCCUGCACCUCCAUCUCCACAGGACCCACCCACAUCUCCAGGGGGUUGGGGACCUUCUCUGUGCUGACAACUCCUCCUGCCCUGAUCCCCUCCUCAGCCCUGUGUGGCCUCACCACUGCCCACUCAAUGGGUCCUUUGGCUGAACCAAGGUCACCUUUAUCCACCUCCACAAGUCAAAGCCUAAACUCAUUAUCUUCCAUCCAAGCCCACUGCUCUCCCUCCUCCUAGUGCCCAGUUCACAUAUCCAGUUCAGAAAUCUGACAGCAGCCCCUUGUCCCCACAUCCCAUCCACAAGGCAGUCCCAUUGGUUCUGCCUCCAUUUUUACCUCUAACCCAGCACCAUUUCUUCUUCUUUAUCACUGCUACCCUAGUCCAAGCCACUGUCUUGUCUCUGCAAUGGCCCUUGCUUACAGCCUAUUAAUUGCUCUCUCUCCCUCCCACUUUGCCCCAUCUAAUGCAACCUCCUUGUGCCCAUUUCUGACUUAAAACCACCAAUGGCUUCCCAUUGCUCUCAGGAUGAAGUCCCUGCCUUGUCCAGCCCGAUCUCUUGUCCUAAAUGGUGUGCCCUAUCUUCCCCUUUACCUAACAAAUUCCUCAUUGAGAGUGUGGACUUGAGGCAGACUGCCCAGGUUUGAAUACUGGCUCUACCACUUACAAGCUGUGUGAACUUAGGUCAGUUUUUCAACUUUUCUGUGCUCAGUUUCCUCAUCUCUAAAGUGGGGAUAGUAAUAGUAUGCACUUCACAGGGUUGUUGUGAGAAUUAAGUGAGUUAAAUAUUUGAAGUCCUCAAUGCAGUGUCUGUCACAUGCUAAGCACUAUGUAAGUGCUAGCUAAGUGAUUAAUUGUGAUCCUUUAGGUCUCAGGGUCAAUUUAAUUUCCUCCUAGGGCUUCCCUACGCCCCUAAUCCAGACCCGGCUUCCUGGUCGACAAGUCACAUCUUCAACAUAUAGAUUCUGGCCAGCUGCCUGUCUCUCCCUCUGGAGCAUAAGCUAUGUGAGGGCAUGUCCUCAUUCAUCUCAGACACUGCUAUGCCCCAGUGCCCCACACACUGCCAGGCACAGGGUAGGCAACCAGCCCAUAUUUGCUGACUAAACAGAUGAAAUGAAAGUCAGCUGAUUCAUCUCCAAACAGAAAAUUUCUCUACUUACAAAAUGCUCAUCAAUGGUACUUCAUUCAUUAUUCAUUUGACAGUGGAGGCAGAAAGUACCCCUCCCAAUAGUCUUCCUCGUACUGCCGGUGGAGGAGGGCAAGUAAAGGAACAUAGAGAUGAACAAGACAGAUGUGGCCCCUAUUCUGGAGGAAUGAAUAGUCUCCUACAGAGACAGACAUGUAAAUGCAUCAGAAGAUACAGGGUCAUGUAACCACAUUGUUGGCCCUGACCUGCAAUGCUUUUGGUCCCAGGAUGUCUUUGGGAUAAUGAAAAUGAAAAGGGAACAGAUACUGUUGCAGACUUCAGCUGGCCCCUGCAGGUCCUAGCCCAGGUGUCUUUAGAGCAGAAAAGACCACCUUUCCACAGUCUUCCAAGUCCCUGGAGGGUUCAACUUGACCAAGAAAACAGAGAGGAAGGGUGAAAGAUAUUCAGGAUCUUCACACAGAGAAGAUAACGGCUUCUGAAAACAAAUAUAAAUCAAUUAAUUUCCCUUUUUACUGUGUUCCUGGUGAUGCACCGAUUACAAUCGAGCAAAAGAAAAACACUUACAUGCAAGUGUGGCCUCUAAACGACAUUACUGCUAUGGGGCUCCAAGUGGCCUGGCCCGGGCCCAGCUGAGGCCGGGCAGGCAGAGUGGAAGGCUCAGCUGCAAGCAGAGCGGCAGGUGCCCUGGACAGUGAAAUGGAGAAACUGAGUCCCAGGGAGGAGCAGGGCCCACCCUAUCAGCAGUGAUGGACAUCAGGGCAGAGCAAGAACAACCUGGGGAGGAGCCUGCCUAUCAGCUGUCUCCAUUGCCCCACUGGGUGUUCAUGAAAA